CCUACGGGAGGCAGCAGUGGGGAAUAUUGCACAAUGGGGGAAACCCUGAUGCAGCCAUGCCGCGUGUGUGAAGAAGGCCUUCGGGUUGUAAAGCACUUUCAGUGGUGAGGAAAGGUGAGCGAUUAAUACUCGCUUGCUGUGACGUUAACCACAGAAGAAGCACCGGCUAACUCCGUGCCAGCAGCCGCGGUAAU
rnacentral:rRNA from 1 species